UACGUAGGGUGCAAGCGUUGUCCGGAAUUAUUGGGCGUAAAGAGCUCGUAGGCGGUUUGUCGCGUCGGCUGUGAAAACUCGGGGCUUAACUCCGGGCCUGCAGUGGGUACGGGCAGACUAGAGUGCGGUAGGGGAGACUGGAAUUCCUGGUGUAGCGGUGAAAUGCGUAGAUACCAGGAGGAACACCGGUGGCGAAGGCGGCUUCCUGGCCGAGUACUGACGGCUGAGGCACGAAAGCGUGGGGAGCGAACGGG
rnacentral:rRNA from 1 species